GGAAUGUGCAAUUCUGAUCUCCAUACUGGGGGAAGGAUGCCUUUGCACUGGAGAUGAUGCAGAGGAGCUUCAUCAGGAUAUUGCUCAGAAAUGAAUAUUUCAAUUAUCAGCAGAGACUGGACUG